UACGUAGGGUGCAGGCGUUAAUCGGAAUUACUGGGCGUAAAGCGUGCGCAGGCGGUCUGCUAAGAGAGAUGUGAAAAUCCCCCGGGCUUAACCUGGGAACUGCGUUUCUAACUGGCAGGCUUGAGUGUGGCAGAGGGGGGGUGGAAUUCCACGUGUAGCAGUGAAAUACGUAGAGAUUGGGAAGAACACCAGUGGCGAAGGCGGCUAUCUGGACGGUUUCUGACACUAAGACUCGAAAGCGUGGGGAGCAAACAGG
rnacentral:rRNA from 1 species